UGCAAAUACUGUGGACUGUAACCUCAAGGAGUGCCCUUCUGCACCCACAUGCAAAACUGGAGAGAGACUUGUAAAGUUCCGAGAUAAUGACACCUGCUGUGAAAUCGGAUAUUGUGAACCAAGAACAUGUUUGUUUAACAGUAUUGAUUAUGAGAUUGGUGCUUCAUUUGAUGAUCCCAACAACCCAUGCAUCUCCUAUUCCUGCUACGACACUGGUUUCGUUGCAGUGGUCCAAGACUGCCCAA